CCUACGGGUGGCAGCAGUGAGGAAUAUUGGUCAAUGGACGCAAGCCUGAACCAGCCAAGUCGCGUGCAGGAUGACUGCCCUACGGGUUGUAAACUUCUUUUAUACGGGAGUAAAGUGAGGCACGUGUGCCUUUUUGUAUGUACUGUAUGAAUAAGGAUCGGCUAACUCCGUGCCAGCAGCCGCGGUAAUACGGAGGAUGCGAGCGUUAUCCGGAUUUAUUGGGUUUAAGGGGUGCGUAGGCGGAUUUUUAAGUCAGAGGUAAAAUGUCCGGGCUCAACCCGGGCCGGCCGGUGAAACUGGGGAUCUUGAGUGGGCGAGAAGUAGGCGGAAUGCGUGGUGUAGCGGUGAAAUGCAUAGAUAUCACGCAGAACUCCGAUUGCGAAGGCAGCAUACCGGCGCCCGACUGACGCUGAGGCACGAAAGCGUGGGGAUCGAACAGGAUUAGAUACCCGAGUAGUC
rnacentral:rRNA from 1 species